UACGAAGGGGGCUAGCGUUGCUCGGAAUCACUGGGCGUAAAGCGCACGUAGACGGCUUUCUAAGUCAGGGGUGAAAUCCUGGAGCUCAACUCCAGAACUGCCUUUGAUACUGGAGCUUGAGUCCGGGAGAGGUGAGUGGAACUCCGAGUGUAGAGGUGAAAUCGUAGAUAUUCGGAAGAACACCAGUGGCGAAGGCGGCUCACUGGCCCGGUACUGACGCUGAGGUGCGAAAGCGUGGGGAGCAAACAGGG
rnacentral:rRNA from 1 species